rnacentral:rRNA from 1 species
UACGGAGGGUGCAAGCGUUGUCCGGAUUUAUUGGGUUUAAAGGGUGCGUAGGUGGCUUAUUAAGUCAGUGUUUAAAGUCUGCAGCUUAACUGUAGGUAUGGCAUUGAUACUGAUAGGCUUGAGUAAAGUUGAGGUAGGCGGAAUUGAAGGUGUAGCGGUGAAAUGCAUAGAUAUCUUCAAGAACACCGAUUGCGAAGGCAGCUUACUAAGCUUUAACUGACACUGAGGCACGAAAAGCGUGGGGGAUCAAACAGG